GGAGCUGCGAGAGAGCUGCUGGGGUUCGCUGCGUGCGGGAGUGGUCGGCGGUCCUUCGUUCGGUCCUUGCGCCGUUGGGGUGGAAUAGCGGCUGGAGGGAGGUCUCUCCUGAAGAGAGAUUCAGCCCGAAUCGGUGAGCCGUUCCGGUAACAACGGGACCGCGGAGGAGGCGAGCGCUCUGGGGCCGUUCGGGACCGUCCGCCCGCAGCAAGAGGCCGUCCGGUUCUCGCCGCGCUCCGUUCGGGGCUGGCGCGGAGCUCCCGCCGGGCUCCCCCGGCUUUUCUUCGUCUCCGCUCGGCUGCUGUCUACUUUCGGGGGGGCCGCCGUGCGGUUCCCCGAGUCCUAGGGUAGCCGUGGAAUGUUUUCAGCCUUUCCAGGGCUUUGUAGAGAGUAGUUCAGUUUCUGCCGCUCUCAUCGGUGGGAACGAGCGGGACGAGGCCGUAUUCCUGCGGCCUCGGCGGUGCUGGGAGUAAGAAGCAACGCCAAGGGCUGCUAAAACGCGAGCUUUUUUCUAUCGCACGCUGAGCGAGGGUUGCAGCAGAGCGGCUUGUCCACUCGAACCGGCGAGUGUCUGGGAGUCGCCAGGUAAGUCAUCUGUUCCUGGGGCCGCUGCUCGGCCGUUUUUUUUUUCUUUGAGAUCAGCACGGAGCCUCCUUUGCCGAACCGCCCGAGACAGAGCACGACCGUGGGCCGGCCUUAGCUUCCCCUCCCCUCCACCCCGAAGGAUGUUGCCAAUGAUUCGGUCCCUCCCGCUUCCAGCACAGAGUGAGAGACUGUGGAUUUCCUCAACCUCCCCUGCCCCUUAUGGAUAACUUCAGGAGCGUCAUCUCAUUCUCAUAGUGGAGUCACGGUGGGACAGCUUGCACAACUGGAAUGCUGUUGUGGAUGGCUAUGCUUUGUGUUUUGUUUGUAGGUUUUUUUUAUCAGUAGGGAAGACAGAGCAGUGAGGUGGUGGAGUUGCUCUUCCGGUGAGCUAAUUGGAACAUACUGAGGUGUGCCUGGGAACAGAUGAAGAACCAGGGGUGCUGGGGGUCACUGCUGAGGCGGCUCCUUCAGAAUCCUGGAUCUGGUGCGGAAGAGUCUUUAAGGAGGGGUGACCCUGUCUCGAUUGCAGAGUAGCUGGUCAAAGAUGAUUUAGAAAAGAUGGCCAACAUCACCACUAUCUCCAAAAAAGGGCAGUAAGGCUAAUCAGCCUCACCUCCUUGCCUGGAAAGGUGAAGGAACAGGUUGUUUAAAAUGUCAUCACUAAGUCAGCGGAAGAGAAGAAACCGUAAAGGAAUGGUCACAGUGGAUUCUGCAAGGGGAAAUGUGGCCGGAUCAACUGGGUUUAGGGCCAGUGCGGGGACUCUGACAGCGAGACUCCGGUGCCUCUGUGAAGCGAGGUUCCUGCACAGCUGGUGUGUGAGGAGCGAGGUGGUUCCUUGGCUGUGGCAGACCUCCUAAUCCCUGUGUUGGUGUGUGGUGUGUACUUCCCCGGGGCUCCUGUUUAUUCCUUUUCUGUUGGAGGCUGGUUGAAGCUGCGGCUUGUGU